rnacentral:rRNA from 1 species
CACGUAGGGGGGCGAGCGUUGUCCGGAUUCAUUGGGCGUAAAGGGCGCGCAGGCGGCCCGGAAAGUCGGAUGUGAAAACUCGAGGCUCAACCUCGAGCGUGCACCCGAUACUGCCGGGCUUGAGGCAGGUAGGGGAGAUCGGAAUUCCUGGUGUAGCGGUGAAAUGCGCAGAUAUCAGGAGGAACACCGGUGGCGAAGGCGGGUCUCUGGGCCGAUACUGACACUGAGGAGCGAAAGCCAGGGGAGCAAACGGG